UACAGAGGGGGGCAAGCGUUGUUCGGAAUUACUGGGCGUAAAGGGCGCGUAGGCGGCCUGUUAAGUCGGACGUGAAAUCCCUCGGCUCAACCGGGGAACUGCGUCUGAUACUGGCGGGCUUGAAUUCGGGAGAGGGAUGUGGAAUUCCAGGUGUAGCGGUGAAAUGCGUAGAUAUCUGGAGGAACACCGGUGGCGAAGGCGGCAUCCUGGACCGACAUUGACGCUGAGGCGCGAAAGCCAGGGGAGCAAACGGG
rnacentral:rRNA from 1 species